rnacentral:tRNA from 1 species
AGCAGCGUGGCUCAGUGGAAAGAGCACAGAAUUGGGAGUCAGAGGUCAUGGGUUCGAAUCCCAGCUCUGCCA